AUUGAACGCUGGCGGCAUGCCUAACACAUGCAAGUCGAACGAUGAUUAAGAGCUUGCUCUUAUGAUUAGUGGCGGACGGGUGAGUAAUGUAUAGGGAUCUGCCCGGUAGUGGGGGACAACAGCCGGAAACGGCUGCUAAUACCGCAUACGCUCUACGGAGAAAAGUGGGGGACCUUCGGGCCUCACGCUAUCGGAUGAACCUAUAUCAGAUUAGCUAGAUGGUGGGGUAACGGCCUACCAUGGCGACGAUCUGUAGCUGGUUUGAGAGAAUGAUCAGCCACACUGGGACUGAGACACGGCCCCAGACUCCUACGGGAGGCAGCAGUGGGGGAAUAUUUGGACAAUGGGGGCCAAACCCCUGAUCCAGCAAUGCCGCGUGUGUGAAGGAGGCCUUCGGGUUGUAAAGCACUUUAAGUUGGGAGGAAAAGCUGCUUGUUAAUAGCGAGUAGUGUUGACGUUACCAACAGAAUAAGCACCGGCUAACUCCGUGCCAGCAGCCGCGGUAAUACGGAGGGUGCAAGCGUUAAUCGGAAUUACUGGGCGUAAAGCGCGCGUAGGCGGUUUGUUAAGUCAGAUGUGAAAUCCCCGGGCUCAACCUGGGAAUGGCAUUUGAGACUGGCAGGCUAGAGUGUGGUAGAGGUGAGUGGAAUUUCAGGUGUAGCGGUG
rnacentral:rRNA from 1 species